UUGUCUCAAAGAUUAAGCCAUGCAUGUCUGAGUACAGACCGAUCUAAGGUGAAACCGCGAAUGGCUCAUUAAAUCAGUCAUAAUUCCUUGGAUAGUGAAAAACUUCCUCGGAUAACUGUGGAAAAUCCAGAGCUAAUACGUGCAACUGAGCUCCGACCUCGGCGCGAGUCGAGGGAAGAGCGCAUUUAUUAGAUUCAAAACUGACCGGUGCACUCCUUCGGGAUGCGCCGCUCGUCAAACUUGAUGACUCCGGAUAACUAAGCCGAGCGCUACGGUCUUCGUACCGGCGCCGUAUCUUUCAAGUGUCUGCCUUAUCAGCUUUCGAUUGUAGGUUAAACGCCUACAAUGGCUGUAACGGGUAACGGGGAAUCAGGGUUCGAUUCCGGAGAGGGAGCCUGAGAAACGGCUACCACAUCUAAGGAAGGCAGCAGGCACGCAAAUUACCCACUCCCAGCUCGGGGAGGUAGUGACGAAAAAUAACGAUGUGAGACUCUUCCGAGGCCUCACAAUCGGAAUGAGUCCAUUCUAAAUAUUUGGACGAGGAUCCAUUGGAGGGCAAGUCUGGUGCCAGCAGCCGCGGUAAUUCCAGCUCCAAUAGCGUAUAUUAAAGUUGCUGCGGUUAAAAAGCUCGUAGUUGGAUCUCCUAGAUCCAACUCGUGGGCGAGUCGCUCUCUGUACGCGCGUUCUACGCCAGUUGCUAGGGUGGGUUUUCUCGUGCGUUUUACGGCUAUUUCUUCUUAGCUUCGGCUUCGAGAUUGACGUCGUUGGCGCGCUUCUUGAUUUCGCUACCCGUGCGGACGGUGGGACGUAGUCUUUGAGUAUAGCUCGUCCGCGUUUGGUACAAUUAAAAUUUUGUCGGCUCGCUCGGAGUGCUCUUUACCGAGUGUUCCAGGGUGGCCGACACGUUCACUUUGAAAAAAUUAGAGUGCUUAAAGCGGGCCGAAAUGUCGCCUGAAUGUUGUUGCAUGGAAUGAAGGAACAGGACCUCGGUUCUGUUCUUUUUGUCGGUUUUAAUGAACCGAGGUAAUGAUUAAAAGGAACAGACGGUGGCAUUAGUAUUGCGACGCUAGAGGUGAAAUUCUUGGACCGUCGCAAGACUAACUACUGCGAAAGCAUUUGCCGAGAAUGUUUUCAUUAAUCAAGAACGAAAGUUAGAGGAUCGAAGGCGAUCAGAUACCGCCCUAGUUCUAACCCUAAACUAUGCUAACUAGCGAUCCGUCGGAGUCAUUCCCACGACCCGACGGGAAGCCCCAGGGAAACCAAAGUCUUUGAGUUCCGGGGGAAGUAUGGUUGCAAAGCUGAAACUUAAAGGAAUUGACGGAAGGGCACCACCAGGAGUGGAGCCUGCGGCUUAAUUUGACUCAACACGGGAAACCUCACCAGGCCCGGACAUCAGAAGGAUUGACAGAUUGAGAGCUCUUUCUCGAUUCGAUGGGUGGUGGUGCAUGGCCGUUCUUAGUUGGUGGAGUGAUCUGUCUGGUUGAUUCCGAUAACGAACGAGACUCUACCCUACUAACUAGUCGGCGGAUCGUAACCCUGAGAUGGGGAAGCUGAAGCGCUCGUACUUAUGGUGCGAACUCGUUGAUUCGUUCUUUGGGGGCGCGUAUUCGCUUUACGGCGGGUGCGUUAGCUCUUCUAGGGUGAUGAGGCGUGUUUCGCGUCUGCUGGUGCGUGUCGUCUAGGUGACUCUUACUGGGGGCGUCCGUCGCAAUGUAUCUUCUUAGAGGGAUCAGCGGCGUCUAGCCGCACGAGAAAGAGCAAUAACAGGUCUGUGAUGCCCUUAGAUGUUCUGGGCCGCACGCGCGCUACAAUGUAGGGCUCAGCGUGCCUUCCCUCUCCGAAAGGAGCGGGUAACCCGUUGAAACCCCUACCCGAUUGGGAUUGGGGAUUGCAAAUGUUUCCCAUAAACGAGGAAUUCCCAGUAAGCGCGAGUCAUUAGCUCGCGCUGAUUACGUCCCUGCCCUUUGUACACACCGCCCGUCGCUACUACCGAUUGAAUGAUUCAGUGAGGGCAUCGGACUGGCGCCUUCGGUUGCAAUAUAUCUUAGGCUGACGGAAAGAUGUCCGAACUUGAUCAUUUAGAG
rnacentral:rRNA from 1 species